CCCGGCCUGCGCAGCCGCAGCUGAGACAGCCGCCAGGCCUCCUCGGGACCGCUGUGGAGACUUCUGGAGGAUGUGGUGCCACUGCCACGCUAACAGGACAAGCUGGGGAGGACGUGGGGCCGCUUGCACACUGACAGCCGUGCAGCUCCCUCUGGACGGCCACUGGAGAAGACAAAGAAGCGAUCAGUGUGUGAAGAAGAAUUGAGAGACACAGGAGUUUGGACUCGGGCUGGUAAAUGACAAAGAAGUAACUGGGAAGAUAAAGCUCAGAGCAGCCUUGGAGGAGCCCUGCAUCUCGAGAUUCCGUGACCUGUGCCUCCUGCCUUCAUUUGAUGACCUCGGUGGUUUCCUGUUGCUCUCGUGGCAGUUCCUGGAUCACGGCAGGGGAUGGUACCCUUGUCUGUGCUUUGACCUCUUCCUGUCCUGCACGGAGCCCACCCACCUUUGCACCUUCCAUGGAUGUGCUUGGAAGCACGCUCAUCCACAGGGAACCUAUUGGCCGAAGGGAUCCAGGGAAUGACCAUUGAAUUAGCGAUCCAGGAUAGAGAACCAGCCUGCUCCGAACCCUGUCCUGCACUCUGUGACUGUCUUACAUUAAAACAGAAACAGUAACAGC